UGAAGGAAAUGCGACAGCGGAACGUCCUAGGGCCCCGGGGGCUUGCUAGAGAGACUGCAGGUGGAAACAGACCAGGGCCAGGCCACCUGUAAGGAUGGACCUGUACCCACGCCCUGCGGCCGCCCCCUACCCGCGACUGCCGGCGCACGAGCCCGGCCCCCCACCUGCAGCGACCGGCCGGGAAGCCAGCGUGCCACAAGUCAGAGUUGCAGGAAGUCAGACCAGCAUCUCCAGCAACUGGUCCAGGAGGCCGCACAACCACCCCGUGACACUCAGCCCCAGAUGGCCAGAACGUGAUCAGUAACUGACAGCUUCCCCAAUUUCUGUCCUUCCUUCCAACUUGGGACCAACCAGAGAAAGCCAAAAUGCUCCCCUAACCAAUCGCGAGGACACCCCGCUUCCAGAUCCCCACCUCCAGCAUCCGCCAUGGCCCCAUCCGGACAACCCUGAGCCCCCGUUUCUUUCCGCUGAAGUCUCUGCUCCUCCGCCUACCUUUGGGUUUCUGCCAUCACAAGUGUCGACCCCGCCUGCUACAGUGCGCCCUGAGUAGCAGCCUCUGCUGUUUUCACCUGGGGGGUCCUUGUUUCCAUUCUAGCCUGGUUUUCCCUCCCCACGUGGAGCCCUCUCCAACUCCCAGCAAAUUCCAUCACUCAGAGGACCCCAUGCAAGGGAGGCCUGACUUCCUGCAGCAUCCGUGUAAACCCGCCUUUGAGAAGGUUAUCAUGUUGGGGGAGGGGGGCAGGUACAUCUGCCGGGGAAGCCCAAGGAGCCCCAGGUCAGAGCUGGAGGGGGCAAGUGGGAAGGAAAACUCCGUGACUUGAAGAUCUGCUCCACUUGGCCCAGCCGAGCUCAGGUGCCCUGCCCUGAGAAAACAGCACUGGUAUCAGGACAGUGGGCAGCACACUUUUUUGCUCCUGUAGCCCCUGAAAGAAUUUUGAAAACUACUCCUUCCACAUUUCAAGUAGACACCUAAGUUUCUCCUCGUAAAUGUAAACAGUUGCAAAGGAUGCUGUUUCUGGCAUACUGUUGUUACGGAACCAGGUUUGUUUCGCCCGCCACCCGGUAGGUCAAUCACUAAGACGAGUUUACAGCAGAGAAGGGGUUUAUUCACAAGGCAGCCAAGCAAGGAGUCUCAAAUCCUCCUCCCCAAAAAUAGGGAUUAGGGAUAUUUAGGGGAUGAAGGGCGGGCGGUCUGAAGUGUGGAGAUAGAUGAUUGGAAGUAUGAGAAGUGAGGUAAUUGAUGAUCUGCGCAGGCGUAGUCAGACUCCACGCCUCUUCAUAGGACACAUGUUCACACAAUGGUGGCAUAGGCUGAUCUGAGAUUCGGCCCCCUGACGUCAAAGGGGCACCUAUCAGACAUUCUCUGGGGCCCAGUUGAUGAGUCAGUGGUCCUAAUUGGCCUGAACUGGACAAGGAGUCCACUCGGUUCCUGAAAAACAGCUUAAGCACCCGUUGCCGUGCGGACCCAAGCAUCAGAGAUGUCAUCUAUAGGGUGGGCUUUUUUUUUUUUGAGGAAGACUGGCCCUGAGUUAACAUCCAUGCCCAUCUUCCUCUACUUUAUACGUGGGAUGCCUGCCACAGCAUGGCGUGCCAAGCGGUGCCAUAUCUGCACCCAGGAUCUGAACCGGCGAACCCCUGGCCGCUGAAGCGGAACGUGCGCACUUAACCGCUGCGCCACCAGGCCAGCCCCAGGGUGGGCUUUAUAGGGCAUUCUCUGACUGCUUUUGCAAACGGACAACUGACUGAAUCUAGUUAAAGCAGGUUGGCUCCCAUUUCACUGAAGAUCAGCCCUGAGCUAACAUCUGCUGCCGAUCCUCCUCUUUUUGCUGAGGAAGACUGGCCCUGAGCUAACAUCUGUGCCCAUCUUCCUCUACUUUCUAUGUGCAGGGAAGGAGAAGAAAAUGGCUUGGGGCAAACAGAAUACACUGCCGUCAGCUCCACAUUGGACCAGAUUGACUCCUGCUUGGACCACCUGGAGAACAGCCACCUCCACGCCCACCUCCAGAGUUGCUUAAGUCCAACUGGCAGACAUGCCUUGAGUCCAGCAGCAGCCUGGGGAGGCCCCCAGUGAUGCCAGCCCCUAGGAUCCUGGAGCCCCCGGCCAGGCUCCAGCCCUGCCUCCCUGGCCAGGCUCUAGCCUGGGCACUCACUGCCUGGCUUGCAUACCUUCUCAAGACCAGGCCUGCAGGUGCCCUGGUGGAUCUGCCUGUCUGGGCCACCCUUCUGGUAUUCUCAUACUCCCUUUGG
rnacentral:lncRNA from 1 species